GACGAACGCUGGCGGCGUGCUUAACACAUGCAAGUCGAACGGAAAGGCCCUGCUUUUGUGGGUUUCUCGAUUGGCGAACGGGUGAGUAACACGUGAGUAACCUGCCCUUGACUUUGGGAUAACUUCAGGAAACUGGGGCGAAUAUCGGAUAUGAUCUCCUGCUGCAUGGUGUGGGUUGGAAAGUUUCGGCGUUUGGGGAUGGACUCGCGGCUUAUCAGCUUGUUGGUGUGGUAGUGGCGUACCAAGGCUUUGACGGGUAGCCGGCCUGAGAGGGUUACCGGCCACAAUGGGACUGAGAUACGGCCCAGAAUGCUACGGGCGGCAGCAGUGGGGAAUAUUGCAGAAUGGGCGGAAGCCUGAUGCAGCAACGCCGCGUGCGGGAUGACGGCCUUCGGGUUGUAAACCGCUUUCGCAUGUGACGAAGAGUGAGUGACGGUAAUGAGUAAAGAAGCAACGGCUAACUACGUG
rnacentral:rRNA from 1 species